AAGGAGUUUUAUCCUGCUAUCCAUUCCUCCUCCUCCUCCUCCCCCCCCAUCUCUCUUUCUCUUUUCUUUUUUGUUUUACUCCUGCUCUCAGUUUUCGUUUUCCUUUUCUUUUCCAUCCAUCUACUGAAACAUACUGCAUUUGAUUCCAUUGUGUUCAGGGUUUACUUAAUUAAUUCUACAGUGUCUUAUCUAGUCACUGAAAGAGGUAGCGGUGUUAAAAGAGAAUAGAGAAGGUUAUUGUGAGUUAUAGAAGAAAAGAAGGAAGGGUUGUUGAGAGGUUGAAAAUGAAGGUUGUUGAGGAAGAAAAGGUUAUUGAGAGGUUGAAGAAGAUGGUUAUUGAGAGGUUGAAGAUGGUUAUUGAGAGGUUGAAGAAGAAAGGUUAUUGAAAUGUUGAAGAAGGCGGUUAUUGAGAGGUUGAACAUGGUUAUUGAGAGGUUGAAGAUGGUUAUUGAGAGGUUGAAGAAGAAAGGUUAUUGAGAGGUUGAAGAAGACGGUUAUUGAAAUGUUGAAGAAGGCGGUUAUUGAGAGGUUGAACAUGGUUAUUGAGAGGUUGAAUAUGGUUAUUGAGAGGUUGAAGAAGAUGGUUAUUGAGGUUGAAGAUGGUUAUUGAGAAGUUGAAGACGGUUAUUGAGAAGUUGAAGAAGAAAGGUUAUUGAAAGGUUGAAGAAGAUGGUUAUUGAGAGGUUGAAGAAGAUGGUUAUUGAGAGGUUGAAAAAGAUGGUUAUUGAGAGGUUGAAGAAGACGGUUAUUGAGAGGCUGAAGAAGAAAGGUUAUUGAAAGGUUGAAGAAGAUGGUUAUUGAGGUUGAAGAAGAUGGUUAUUGAGAGGUUGAAGAAGAAAGGUUAUUGAAUGGUUGAAGAAAAUGGUUAUUGAGGUUGAAGAAGAUGGUUAUUGAGGUUGAAGAAGAUGGUUAUUGAGAGGUUGAAGACGAUGGUUAUUGAGAGGUUGAAGAAGAUGGUUAUUGAGAGGUUGAAGAAGACGGUUAUUGAGAGGUUGAAGAAGACGGUUAUUGAGAGAAGAAGAUGGUUAUUGAAAGGUUGAAGAAGAAAGAUUAUUGAGGGGUUGAAGAUGGUUAUUGAGAGGUUGAAGAGGAAAGGUUAUUGAGAGGUUGAAGAAGAUGGUUAAUUAGAGGUUGAAGAAGGUUAUUGAGAGGUUGAAGAAGAAAGGUUAUUGAAAGGUUGAAGAAGAUGGUUAUUGAGGUUGAAGAUGGUUUUUGAGAGGUUGAAGACGAUGGUUAUUGAGAGGUUGAAGAAGAUGAUUAUUGAGAGGUUUAAGAAGACGGUUAUUAAGAGGUUGAAGAAGAUGGUUAUUGAGAGGUUGAAGAAGAUGAUUAUUGAGAGGUUUAAGAAGACGGUUAUUAAGAGGUUGAAGAAGAUGGUUAUUGAGAGGUUAAAGAAGACAGUUAUUGAGAGGUUGAAGACGAUGGUUAUUGAGAGAUUGAAGAUGGUUAUUGAGAGGUUGAAGAAGACGGUUAUUAAGAGGUUGAAGAAGACGGUUAUUGAGAGGUUGAAGAAGAUGGUUAUUGAGAGGAUGAAGAAGAUGGUUAUUAAGAGGUUGAAGAA